rnacentral:lncRNA from 1 species
UUGUGGGAGUCGAUGUGGCAGCAUGACAAAGUUUUUCCUUCUAGAUUAGUUGACGUGACUUCUCCUAUGAGCUUUUUUAUUACUGGACACAUGGAAAAACCUCACAUAGUCAAUUUUAUUAGUAGUAAAUUGUAUUCAUGGUCGAACCUUGUUUAUGUAUGAAUAAUUUUCUCACAUAAGCAUAACUUGCUCUUGGUUGGCUUUGUUCUGAUUUUUUAACGAACCGGAUUAAACCAUGUAUUUAGUUAUAUGUUAGAAUGGUUUAAGUAUUGAUUAAUUAGCGAGAAGGUUACCAAUUCCGGCCCAGUAAAGUGGUAGUGACUCAGCAUGAUAAGAGAGUCUCACCAGGGUUCGAGUAGCGAUAUUGGUAGCCCGUAUUCGUAACACCGUAAUCGCAACAAGGUACAAGGACAAGCAACCUAUAGCAAUAUUGGUAGUCCAACAAUAAUAACUUGUAUAUCCCAGAUAAUCAUGCCUUUGGUGGUAGCCAAGUUGAGGUAAUCUAAAUUACUUCUUUUUUUUUAAUCUUAAAAUCAUGCAGCGAACCUUGACACCGAGGGCCUCAAAGAUGGAGGUGGAGCCACGGAGUCACUUUUGAGAGACUCAAUCAACUAGGUUCUUGAUCGAGACCAGUUUCCAAAAACAGCCCUUAUCAUCAAAACCCGUGACUUUUGGUAAAUGUAAUGCGUACCACAAGAGAAACUUAUAUCUUAAGGUUCGUGGUGUGGAUAUGAACCCAGUGGAGCAUUCUCAUGGAGGAGGUAGCCAUCAGCAUAGAUCACGCCAGUACGUACAGUUAGGCGUGAUGCACCUGGUGGAUAAAAGGUUGGUCUUAUCGCUGCUAGGAGGACUGGUCGUCUCAGAGGUCAAGCUGCUACAACCGCCAAGGUCGACUAGGGUUGUUAAACAUAAACUUCUUUACUUUUUUAAAAAAAGAUUUAAUUCAUAGUACCAAACUUGAAUACAAUCUAGACUAUCCAUAGAAUCGCAAGAAAGAGAGAUAGAAACAUGGAACUUUUGAAGACCGUUACAAAAUGAAGUUGCUCAUAUUCUAGAAGCAAAAUGGGUCUUGUUAAGUCAGAAGAAUGUGAUAACUUCCAGAAGAAUCUAUAUAUCCAAAAGCGUUGGCCAUAUUAUUGAAACUGCCUUCCGAAAUAAAGAUAUCAGUCAAAAGCAAAGGUUGCUUGGGCUUCAGUUUGUCUGCCUAAAGCUGAAGGAGGUUUGGGUCUGCGAAGGCUCUCGGUCUGGAACAACAAUCUGUUGUAGGACCUUAAUAUUUCAAUAAGGGCACAAUCUAAUAUUUGUAAAACAAAAAACAUAGAAGAACGGAGAUUGACGGUGAUAAACAGAGUCGAGAACGUUGAUGAUCUCUCUCUUUAACUCAAAAAUCGCCCCGUAGUGUGCCGGUUUGAUGACAAUUAGAGUCCCAGGAUAAAACUGUUUCUUCUUUUGAUUGCAACACUCAAAUCAAAAGCUAAACGAACACUAAUCUUGUGUUGUACUCUCAGACACAAACAAAAAACAAGAAAAGAGAAGAGAAGGAUUUUUUAUGCUUUGAUCGAUGAUCCGAAUGAGAAGACAAACGCUUGACUUUAUACUAAAAGCUCAACGUCUAUGCCAUAAAUAGGAGGAUACGUGAGUUAUGAGAAUUUGAUUCUCUAACGUCAAUGUCGUAAAUUGAUUCCAACCUUAAUUCAUGAGACUUAAUUAGGUUGUUACAAAAUCAAUCAAGGAGAUAUUUCUUUGAAUUAGUCAACAACAUAAUUCAAUAUGGAUUAGGACAAACAAGAAUAAACUAAUGGGUUACAAGCCCAUAUUAUUAAUCUCAAAUCCCAAAUCCAACCCAUAUGUGUUUGGGUUUCUCCUUUGACCUCCAAAGUGGUCCAAUUAACAUUUAGUUAAAAUUCCAAGCUUAGCAAGCUAACCACUUUGGACCUCCAUUUCUCAUUCAAACGAACUCCGUUUUUGACAUUCCAAUACACCACCACGUAGUGCUCGCAGCAACGAUUCCAUCGUGCCCAAGAACCGGUCAUUCCGAUGAACGUCUUCACCGGAAACUCCACCGUAACAAUGGUCAAAACCAUUUUGUCAAAAACAAGUUCCAACAUCUGUGUCUACGGCUCAUUUGGUUGCUGUUCUCUAGCAGUGGUUCUCUUUGGGUUGCUUGGCACAAUUAUCAUCAGAAGCUCUCAGAAACUAGUUUUUGGAGUCUAAAAGGACGAAAUAGUGACUCUUGGCUGUGGAAAUCUCUGUUAAAGCUGAGGCAUUUGGCUUCUCAAUUCAUCAAAUGCAAGGUCGGAAAUGGUAGAAAGGCUUGGUUUUGGUAUGACAGUUGGACUCCAUUAGGCCCUUUAAUCAAUCUGUUUGGCGAUCAAGGUCCUAGAACCACAAGAAUUCCACUCUCAGCCAAAGUGGGGGACGCUUGUAAUGCUUUUGGGUGGAAGAUGGCUGCUCCAAGGUCUGAUCAGGCUGAAUCCCUCCAAAUCCAUUUGUCUUCUAAGCAGCUGCCCACUAGUUCCUCAGAGGAUGAUGUAUUUGAGUGGGAAAUUGAUGGUAAAUCAAGCAUUGGAUUUUCCUCUUCUAAAACUUGGGAGAAGUUAAGGCCCAGAGAAUCAGAAAAAAUAUGGGCGCCUCUCAUCUGGUUCAAAGGAAACACUCCAAGGUUUGCUUUCAACUUCUGGAUUACUAACCUGGACAGACUUCCUACUAUGUCUAGGCUUGCUUCCUGGGGUCUGCCUGUGUCCACAGUUUGUAGCUUAUGCUCCAGUCCUGUCGAAAACAGAGAUCAUUUGUUUCUUCUUUGUAGUUUUACUCGAGUGCUAUGGGACAAAAUUUGGCUCAGACUCGGGCAGCAAGCUGUUUAUUUCAGCGACUGGACAUCCUUGCUGGCUUGGGUAAAGGGACAAAGCAGUUCUGUUCCACGAACCCUUAGGCUUCUGAUUAUCCACACCUUGGUCUAUAUGGUUUGGAAACAAAGAAAUAAUAUCGUUCAUAAUCAGAUCACCAUCUCUCCUAUUGCCAUCUUCAGAGUUAUCGACCGUCAGAUCAUAAACACUAUCACUGCUAGAAGUUUAGGAAUCUUAUGGCGUUAUGGCUACACUAAUGGAUCCAAGGUUUUUCCUUUCUGAGAAUUAGUAUUUUUCGUAUUGGGCUUUGUUUUUUCCUUCUUUUUUUUUGGCAAAGCUUAAUUUCUUAGGUCUUAUAUCUCUUGUAACACCUAUCUUUCAUUUAUAUUUAGCAAAAAAAAAAAAAAAAAAAAAAAAAACACUGUUUUGUACAUAUCAACUAGUCUUUAUAUUUCGUCAAAUUUGAUAUUGUAGAAGUGAGGGUGUUAAGUUUUACUCAUGCAUAAAAGCCACAAACACCGGUUAACUAAAUCGGUUUGUUCAUCUACAGAUCCCUAAACCAAGAUUUCAUAUUUGCUCAUAUCAUAGAAGCACAUGCCUGAUUGCGAUCACUUGCAGAAGAACAUAAAUCCAAAAGCAAACAGAAAGACCUUGACUAAAACCUUAAAAUAUACAGUAUAUCCUUUGUUUCUUGUGUUCUGUUUUCAGUCUUACUCUUUCAAUAUCUGACUGUGAUUACUUGCAGAGGAAUUAAAUAUUUAAAAGCAAACAGAAAGAACUUGACACCAUGCGAUGUUACUUCACAUUUACGUAAUUGUUUAAGAAUUCUAUUCAAUGCUACUUCCGUAAGAGUUUAGUAAACCAAACUGAAAACAUAAGCGUAACAUUUCUCUGGUUAUGGAAAUAUUUAGUGAACCGGAUUAAACCCGGAAUUAAGCUGUGCGUUUAAAAUGUUAAGUACUAAUUAGACAGAGGAAAAGUCACCAAAACUCAACCAGCAAAGUGGUAGUGACUCAUCAUGAUAGUCUCACCAGGAUUCGAGUAAUGAUAUUGGUACCCCGAAAGAAGGAAAAGUGUCUCCUUGCUUCCAUUGAGUGUCGGUGGAAGAUGAAUGACAUAGGAGUUUAGACGUAAACUCUGUGUCUCCCCAGCUGCUUGACAUAGGAAAAAGGACGAGUUAAUCUUAACAGCCUCUUAGCCACUCUUGCUUCAUCUUUGUUAUCCAACCAACAAGCUGAAUUACAUUAUAAUAAAGUCUGAAAUCUGAAUUCUUCAUCAAAAGUACAUAUACUUACUCAUACAGUCAUACUCAUUAUAUAUAAGCAUACCUGCAAGUAUCAUCAAACCGUAACAAAGGAUGAUUUUAAGGGUGACCGCGACUGAUUCAACCUUCCCCCAAGUAUCACCUUCUCUCUUUCUUUCAAUGCAAUCUCUACGUACCAAAUAUUUUGCUUCCCAUCAUACUUUUACUAAACCGACUCUGAUCAGUGCGAAAAAUCAGAAUUCUAGAUUCCUUGCGAAGCAAGUUAGCCGGAAAACCUUCUAAAACCAUCAAGGGUUUCCAAUGCGUCUCCUUUGGAUCAUGCACAACAUAUCAUCAAUCACACAAGACGGCUCUUGCCUCAGAUCACUCAACUUAUCUUAUCAUCUCCAUGAUUUCAAUUUAGUUUCUUUGGGUUUGUAAGCAUAAGAACAGAACAGUGACUAUCCCUCAAGUAAAUCUUCUCUUCCAUCACCACGUAUGUCUCAAACACAGUCGCAGAGGUAGGUUCGGACAAAAGGUUAGUCUUAUUGCUGCUAGGAGGAGAGGUCAAGACAAGCUGCUGCUUCAUCCGCCAAGGCCGACUAGGGUUGUUAAUUUAAACAUAAAGAAACAUCUGUUUCUUUUCUCGUUUGGACCUUGUUCUCAAAUUCUUAACAUUUUUAUGAUAAUCUUUGUCUCCUCUCUCUAAAAGUUUAUAGUAUACAUUGCAAAUUUUCAUCACAAGUUUGAUUAUUAUCCGAAUCUUGUUUACAGAUGAGUAAAUUCUGCAACCUUGUUCUGUUGUUUAUACGAGAACAAGGAAAGCACAUGAGGCCAUUUUUUGGAAAUCUUAAAGUGAAAACCAGAUUGAACCGCAAGCGUAACAUUUUCUGGUUAUGGAAAUCUUUAGUGAACCGGAGUAAACCCAGAUUCAGCUUAAGUAUUUAUUAAAUAGAAAAAGGUCACCAAAUCUCACCCAGCAAAGUGGUAGUGACUCAGCAUGAUAUGAGAGGCUCGCCAGGGUUCGAGUAACGAUAUUGGUACCCCCCCCGAAUGAGAAGAAGACUCAUGUCUCCUCUCGGUUUCCAUCAAGUGUUGGUGGAUGAUGAAAGAGUUUAAAAAUGUAAACUCCUUCAUGAAUUGGCUGGAAUGCAGUUGCAGCACAGCCUCCGGGACUGUCUAUCACUGAGAAUCGUGCCUUUGAUGAUAGCCGAAAUGAGGUAAUCAAAAUUACCUCUUUUUUUAUUUUUAUAUAUGGGAAAAUGAAAACUUGAAGUUAUUAACAUUGCUAAAUCGUUUAGAGUGGAAACUUACUUAUUCUAAAACCACAUAAAUCUGGGUUUACCGAGUUUUAGUGAGAGAAAUUAUUAAACCACAUAAACGAUUAGAAAGGUACACAACCAUUUUGAGCAGAUAUAUUUUCGCAUAAAUUCACAUGUUGAAAUAAACGAUUAAUCAUAUAUCAAACAAAUAAGGCGUUUUAUGUAAACUCUUCCCAUUGGAAAAUAAUUGAAUGCAUUUCUAAGAAGAUUUAAAAUUAUAGUCAUAAUUAAAGAUUACGCACCAUACGAACGAUUAAAUAUUACUCACCAUAUAGAAAGACGACAUAAUGCUCAACAUAUGAAAAUCCAAGGAAAUAGAUGGGCUAGAAAAUUUUAAAAAACAAAAAGUUUUACAAUAAUUCCUGCUUCUUAAUAAAAAUGCUUAUUUCUUCCUAAUCAAAACUGUCAAUGUAAUGGUAUUUCUCUCUUGCCUUGUUUGAAAUCAAAACUGUCAAUGCAUGUGUUGCUGGCACCCUUCUCCGAACAGAGCCAAAGACAAACAAAGAUUUCAACACACUAUGAGCACAUUUUUUGAGAGACGUCAGACAGCGAAAAUAGAUAUAACACAUGAAAAUUUACAAUUUAGAGAGUUACUAAUCAAAGAUCUUAAAACUGAAAGAAGCGAUAAUUCUCUUCAAUAAAGCCAGUAGAUUGAAAAAAUUUCAUUCAAUGUUUCUAAAUCGAAGAAUUUUUUAUAUCAAAUAGUUAACAUCGUCCAAUGGUAAGGGUGGCGUCUCAGCAAAUCAAAAGGACAAACGGAGAUCAGCGAGGACGAGUCAACAAAGCUAUUUUUAAGCGAGUCAAAUGCCUACAUCAAGUCACUUGCGUGGCUUGGAAACAAAGGGAUUCCCACCUUUAUAAAACAAAGUCACGACUUGUAGCUUGCAUAAAGCCAUCUCCAACCAACAUUUCAAUAGUCACACCGUUCACUACUUGGUUCCACAUCUUACAAGUUUAAGGCAUCAAUCUUUCUUUUGAUUACUCAUCUCUAAUAUAGAUUUCAGCAGCUCAAAGUAUUCUUUAUCCCUCCUUUAUUAUUGUUGAAAUUUGCUCAAUAUCUUUUAUUUGUACAGAGCAUGUUGAUAAAGAAAGUGAAACAGAAUUGGACGAGAGAAGGAGAGAAACUGUUUUUAUUUACUUCGACAAUUUUGUACAAUAACACACGUACUUAUAUAGCUGUCUUACGGUCGUAACAGUUGUGUCUUAUCCAACAAGUCACAACUCUUACCCAUACACCCUUGUGUCUUAACAAAGUCACGGUUAACAACUACCGAUUGAUUUUACAACACAAUAAUAUGUUAUAUAGAAUAACAUAAGACUAAACUCAAUUAUCACUGAACUCAACACACUCAAUUAUGUACAUAACUUCUCAAACAGAAUCAUUAACAACACUCUGUAAAUUUAUCAGCUUUUAAAAAAAGGAUUCUACCAUUACCAAAGUAAGUGAUAGAGAGCGGAAGCUAAAUAACGGACGAGAAUACAAGAUCUCUAAGAGAAGUCGGAUUCACGAACGGAUCUUGCUUAGAACGUCGAAACUUGACGAAGAAGCAAUAAAGAUAGGGUCGAGAUCGGUAGCGAUAUCGACGUGGUUUUGCAAGUCCUCCUUGCAGGGCUUGAACACAAACUCUUAGGGUUGAGAGUCCUCCUCUCUAGGCUUUACACAAAGCUCUCUUAAAAAACUCAAUUUAUUCAAUAAUCCAAAGCUGCCCCUCUUAACGCAUAAUCUAAGCCUUAUAUAAGGCGUUCAUAAACGAAAACCCUAAUCUAAAAACAUAAACGUAUAUACUAAUUAAAAGCCCAAAAUAAAAGCCCAUGUAUCAUAGAUGACGCUGCAUCAGUCUCCUCGGGUUAGAGAAGAUUCAUCCUCGAAUCUUGCGACGUUCGAUCUUGAAGAUGCGCUGCAUCAGUCCCUCCGGGUUAGAAAGAUUCGACCCGAAUCUUAAAUCGUUGAACAUAUGAUACCAACUGAUAGAGAGCGGAAGCUAAAUAACGGACGAGAAUACAAGAUCUCUAAGAGAAGUCGGAUUCACGAACGGAUCUUGCUUAGAACGUCGAAACUUGACGAAGAAGCAAUAAAGAUAGGGUCGAGAUCGGUAGCGAUAUCGACGUGGUUUUGCAAGUCCUCCUUGCAGGGCUUGAACACAAGCUCUUAGGGUUAAGAGUCCUCCUCUCUAGGCUUUACACAAAGCUCUCUUAAAAACUCAAUUUAUUCAAUAAUCCAAAGCUGCCCCUCUUAACACAUAAUCUAAGCCUUAUAUAAGGCUUUCAUAAACGAAAACCCUAAUCUAAAAACAUAAACGUAUAUACUAAUUAAAAGCCCAAAAUAAAAGCCCAUGUAUCAUAGAUGACGCUACAUCAGUAAGCAAAGCAAAUAAUAAACCCGUGUAUAUGAUAAUAGACAAGUAGCUAAGGACCAAAGCCGCACACUUAAAGUGUAAAAUUGGCAUUUGACCGUACAAAAAACCAAGAAAAUAGAGUCAACAUCCACAAAUAAGAUAGUGCAGCAAACUCAUACAUGAGAAAAUUGGACAGUGUAAUGUACUCACACUAAAAAAUUCCACUUUGUACACAAUUCGGAUCGAAUUUAGAUUAAGUUCCUUUACUUAUAGAAGUAAUGAAAAGAGAAGUAUUGCACCCAUGUAUUUCCUAAUUGCGAUACCAUAAACUAUUUAUCAGUUAUUUCUCCGGUUCUCCCAUAUCCAUGGCUUUAGGCUCAACAUCUCACACCCCUCAAAUGAAACAUACAAAACAACCAUCUCAUCCCCAAAAACCACAAUUGUAUUAUUAAACUAUAGGUCUAGUAAACCCAACGUAUUUACAAUAAUGGAACAAAUCUCAAAAAUAGUCAUUAACAAAUCUAUGUUUUGGGAACUGGGAAAAAGAUUCAGAUAUUUCUAAGGGUCAAACAAAUCUAUGAUUGAUUGCCCAUAGAACCCCAUAAAUCUAGAAUGAUAUUAAGUAGGAGAGUGUGUAAUCAACAAAGUCGAUAGAAGCAUAUAAAAAAAAAAACAAUAAGGAAAUCAACAGAAGUACUACUUCUAGAAACAAAUGAUCGCUGCAUGCAUAGACAUUAAGAGACAAGAACAAAAUGACUAACCUACGAUGAGGUUGAAGCGGUGGUGAGUGGUGACAAUGUUGAAUAGAGGGGCCGUGGCUCCACACGCCAACUACGGACCAUUGAAGAUGAAGAAGCCCUUGGUAAGAAGACGUUCACAGUCUCCAUACUUUCACCAUUGUCUCAUAUCCAUGGCCUGAUAAUAACGACAUGAUGCUGAAACUUUCAGCCUGAAAGUAACAAAAUUAAAUCAACCAUCACAUGUUUACUCAAACAAAAAAAAAAGUCACAACUACGAAUCUACACAAAGAAGAGAUUAGUGAUUACCUAAAAGAGGAGAUCAAAGAGCGUGACAACAACAAUGGUAAGGAGAUUCAAGAGCGAGCACGACAAGCGAUGGUAAAGGUGUCAGGUGUGGAAUCUCUAAAACGAUGACUGGCGGGGAUGAGUGAACGGAGGAUUGCAAAUCAGGGAUUUUAAAACAAAACAUAAAUUAGUAACACAACCAAAUUGAAUAAUCGAAGAACCAGGACAUAUGUUCUUCAUUGAAUAAUUGAAGAGCAUGACAAAUCGGCGAGUUAAAAGGAUCACCCUAGAGGCGAAAUUAGGCAACGCUGCAUACUCAACGGAGAAUUGGGAAAUUGAUUUUGUGAUUACUGUUUUUGAUUUUUAAUUUCUAUAUACUUUGACUUGAAAAAUUUGUAAGGGAACGACAGAGGAGAAAAAAUUCUUCAAAACUACAUUGAUGAAUCCCGAAAAUAGAUUUCUCAAGUGAAAAGUGUUGUGUCUUUCUGUUUUUAGAGAGGCAUUGAUUCGAGGGAAAAAGUAAUCUCAACCGUUAGUUUUGCUUUAAUAAAAGACGCGACUUUUGCUUUAAUAAAACAAUCUCAUCCGUUAGUUUUUCUUCUUUUUCAUACUCAACCGUUAGAUUAUAAAGAUGACGUCAGCAGACCCAAAAAAGUGGGUUUGCUAUUAUAUAUAGAUUCUUAAUUCAAUUUCUGUUACUACAAAUCAGAAACAGAACAUCACCUUAAUUAUCUGCAAAACCUGCAAAUUAAAAGACAUUGACUUGGUCUUUAAAUCCUGUGUUUGGCUUCUUCACACGAAUGGCAUUUCAACAAAGUUUCGUAAAAAUAUUGAAUAAACGCUAGAGAAAUUAUCUAUAACUAAGAAGUGAGGCAAGAGAAGUUAUCUAAACCUCUGAAGAUGACAAAGCUCAAUGGAAGGCGACUUUUACUAAACCGACUCUGAUCAGUGCCAAAAAUAACUAACUUUCCUCCAAAAUUCCUUGAGAAGCACGUUAGCCGGAAAACCUUUUAAAACCCUCAAUAGUUUCCAAUACGGCUCCUCUGGAUUAUACACCAUUAGUGGAUAAUACACUCUUGACUCAUGAAGAUUAACAGAAAACAACAUAUCAUCAAUCAAUCACACAACACGGCUCUUGCCACAGAGCAUUCAACAUAUCUACUCCUCCCCAUCCAUGACUUCAAAUUAGUUUUUUUUGGUUCGUAAGCAUAAGAACAGUGCUUAUCCCUCAUGUAAAUAUUCUCCUCCAUCACCACAUAUGUCACAAACUCAGUCACAGAGGUAUGUAGGUUCGGACAGAAGGUUGGUCUUAUUGCUGCUAGGAGGAGAGGUCAAGCUGCUGCUUCAGCCGCCAAGGCCGACUAGGGUUAUUUAAACAUAAAAGAAUUUGUUUCUCUUUUCUAUAUAUGUUUGAAGUUUUGUUGUCUUGUAUUUCCGUUUGGACGACCUUGUUCUACAAUUCUAAACAUUUUUAUGAUAAUCUUUAUCUUCCCUCUCUCUCUCUUUAAAAGCUUAUAGUAUACAUUGCAAAUUUUCAUCACAAGUUUUAUUAUUGUUCUCUAUCCGAAUCUUGUUUAUAGCUAGAUGAGUAAUUCUAUCACCUAAGCAUAAUUUGCUGUUGGUUAGUUUGCAAUGGUUCCCUAACGAACCGUAUCAAACCGAGUAUUUAGUUAUAUGUUUAAAACGUUUUAAGUAUCAAUAAAUUAGACAAAUAGCUGCCAAUUCCGAACCGGUGAAAAUGGUAGGGACUCAGCAUGAUGAGAGAGUCUCACCACGGUUCGAGUAGCGAUAUUGGUACCUUGUUGCUACCACGAGGAUGUCUAUCACAAAGAAUCAUGCCUUAAGUGGUAGCCGAAUUAAAGUAAUCUAAAUUACUUCAUUAUUUUUAUAAUCUUAAAACUGAAUCAGGCAGCGAACCUUCUAAGUGACACAGAGGGACUUAAAGACAAGAGAGUUUUAAUGGAGGUGGAGCCAUGGCGUGACUUUUUGAGCCAUGGUUGUUCAUAUGGAGAUUCGUUCCCUGGUUCGAAGCAGCAGCUAGACGAAAACUGUGUAAUGGCUAUAUCACUGAAGAGGAACCGUAUCUUCAUUCCUUAUGCGAAUCUCGUCUUCUUCUUCUUCUUGUGUAUCUCUCUGCUCGAUAAAGCUGUUUGCAUCAGGAUUUCGAAUCAGAUCUCGGAUACUAUCGUUGAUUCUCCCGAUCGUCCUUUGAAAUCUGCGGUUUUCGCUCUUGGAAGCUUCUGGAGAUCCGAGGCUGCGUUUGGUUGUAUCAAUGGCGUCGUUAGAACAACCGCCGGUUACGCCGGUGGAACGAAGACGAAUCCGGAGUAUAGAAACUUAGGUGAUCACGCCGAGUCCGUACAGGUUAGUUUAUUGUUUCGAUUUCGAGGAUUGAGCCAAUGUUUACUUGGAUUUGAUUUGAUCUACUUAAUAGUUUAUUGUUUUGAUUUUGAGGAUUGAGUCAAUGUUUACUUCGUUAUUCUAUUGCCGCCGGUUUUGAAUUGAGCUUUAUGAUUGAUCUUGUUGCCUCUUAUAAUUUGUGUAGUCAAUGAUUGAGCAUAUUAUUCGACGAUUGGAAGAUGCUUGAAAUCAGCAAUGUUCUAUCUUAAUAGCUUAAUUCUGUAGCUGAUUAGCUUGUUUUGUUGAAUUUUGGUAAUGUGUGAUGUUAUUGUAAAUGUGAUUUGAAGUUAAACUAAGUUGAUCUGUUACCUCUUCUUGUUCGACUGAAUUCAUUUCGCUUGGAUCGACAAAUUUGUGUAGAGAAUUGGAGGAUGCUGUAUAGACUUAAUGUUUUAUCGUACUUAAUAUCGAAAUUAUGUAGCUGGUUUAGCUUGUUUUUCUGAGUUUUUGGUAAUGUUAGUGUAAAUGUGAUUGAGGUUAACCUAAAUCGUCUAUGUUCAUCUGCGCUGUUGAAAAGUAAUCCUUGUGUUUCCAGGAGCUGGGUUUAAAGUUUCUGAUCCUUUAGAUUUGUGUUGCUCUUGCUCUGUAACUGUCUUCAGGUUGAAUAUGAUCCACGGAUAAUCGGUUAUCGUCAGCUCUUAGAUGUAUUCUGGUCUAGUCAUGACUCUAGACAAGUGUUUGGACAAGGUCCUGAUGUGGGUAAUCAAUACAGGUAAAGAGGAAGUAAAUCUCCCUCACAUUAGCUGUUUGGUAAUCCUAAGUUUGUUUGGGCCAAAUAUAUAACGUCGGAAUCUUUUUGAACAGAUCCUGUAUUUUCACUAAUUCUACAGAAGAGUUGAGACUGGCUUCUACUAGCAAGGAAAGGGAGCAACUUAAAUCAAGAAACAGUAUUGUGACUACUCAAAUUCAACAGCUAGGAACGUUUUAUCGCGCAGAGCCUGAUCACCAGGUUCAACUUUAUGUCUCUGUACAUCUUCGAUUCCUAUUACGGCUUGUUAGCUGUUAAUCCAGUUGUUAGAGGAUAAACAGUUAGGAAAAUCGAUGUUCUCUUGAAUUUUGUAUAUGCAGAAGUUCGAGCUGAAACAACAUCCAUUUCUUAUUCAGCUAAUUGGAAACAUGGCAGAAGAAGAGCUCGAGAGAUCAGCUCUAGCCACAAAACUAAAUGGUUAUGCAGCCGAGCUCUGCCCGUCUAGAAUCCAGAAACAUAUCGACUCUAGAGUUAAUGAGAUCAUUAGAAAAGGUUGGCCUGUCUUGAAAGACAUCUAAUAUGUAAGCCGUGUUAGAUCUUCGCGCUCUUGGAUUUGAUUGAUAGUCUCAGAUGUAAGUUUUGGUUCAUUCUUUAGGCCAGGAAUUGGUCGCAACAAUGUUUAUGUCUUACUCUUGCAGUCUUGCCCCUUGAGUGGUGAUUGGUCAGUGUUUUGUCUUGUUUCAUUCGGAUCAUUCUCACAGAGUAUGCUUUUUGUUUUCUUGUAAGCAGAUUCAUUUAGACUUUCAUUGUAUCAUUAUGGUAGUGAUUACCAAUUCAUUGAUAUUAUAUAUAUAUAUAUAUAUUCUAUACUUUGAUUGCCAAUCACUCACAUAGAUUAUGCUUUUUAAUGGAUCCCACGGAACAACGGCUUCGGUACUUACAUCUUAGUAUAAUUGAUUAUGAUGUCUAAAGAAAAAAAAAACAGACUGUUUUUAUCAUACUGCAUCACACGCACAGUUUGUUUGGCAUCCUGAAGAAGACAACUUCAGACAACAACCUUAUGAGAAAUGGGUCAGAUUCUCGAUACUAGGCCUGGGCGUUCGGGUAUUUUGGUUUACAAGUUUAGAAGCUGUUCGGGUAUUUUACGAUUUUGGAUCAGGUUUGGUUCGGGUUUACGUUUACCUGAAGUAUCUGAAAAUCAAAAAAAUUUGUAUCCGAAUGUAUCCAAACUACUUGAAAAUACAUAAAAUAUCCAAAACACACUAGUAUUAUAGUAUCAUCAAAAAGCCAAGGAUCUGACCAUUAUAGGUUAGAAGCAGCAAUAUGUAAUCGAGCUGUUUUAUUAGGAAUAAUUGGAUCAUUUUAGUAAUCUAGAAACCUUUUGCUUGCAUAUUAUUUGGUAAAAUCUUGCAAGUCAUGGAUUAGUUGUGUAUACAUUAUAAUCAAUAUUUUGAAAAAUACUAGAUAUAUAGAAAAGCAAAUAUAUAUAUAUAUAUAUAUAUAUAUAUAGAUGAAAUUAGAUUUAGAAAGGUGUGAUUGGAUUAAGGUUUUUAAGUGGUUAAAUAUAUUUGAUUUUUGAAGUGUUUUUACUUUCUUAGUGGAUAUAUUUAUUUAUCUAUUUUCUUGGUUUUGAGUUGUGUGAUAUAAAAACGCGUCCCACAGUUGCAAACGUCAAUAAUAAUUAGGGUAAAGCAAAGAUAGUGAAGCAGAGCCGCAAAAACAUUUUCUCAAAAUCAACGAAGAUAGAUUCAGAUCGGAAACGUAAGAACGAUUCGGUCUCCUCCACAGAUCGAACAUUGAAAGAGAAGAAAGACGAUCAUCACCAUCACCAUCACAACAAGCAUCGGAAGAAGAGCAAGAUGGCGUCGAGAGACCAAGUUAAGGCAUCGCACAUUUUGAUUAAGCAUCAAGGAUCUCGGAGGAAGGCGUCGUGGAAGGAUCCAGAAGGGAAAAUCAUCUUGACUACCACUAGAGAAGCCGCCGUUGAGCAGCUUAAGUCGAUCCGUGAAGAUAUUGUCUCCGGGAAGGCGAACUUCGAAGAAGUGGCGACUCGUGUUUCUGACUGUAGCUCUGCUAAACGCGGCGGCGAUCUUGGUUUGUUCUUAUCCCUAAUCUCUAGGUUAGCGAGUUUAGGUUUAGGAUGAUUGCACUUAGUGUUAGAUCUAGUGGCAAUGACAUUAAUCUGGAUAGUCUUAAGUGAUGUUUGUAGAAGGAGUAUCUAUUGGAUCUAACUGUGUACAUUGAAAUUGAGCAUAAUGAUCAUAUAAGUCUGCUUAGAUCAUUACUGUUGUUUAGAAUCUCACAGUUCUUCCUUGAUGUGUUUAUAGUCAUCACUAAUGGUUAGAAACUUUAGCUUGAUAAAUCUUUAGUUGGUGCUCAGAGAUUUUACUAAUCUCUAGCUUCUAUCAUCACUAAUGUUUAGUUUCUUCCUAUUUCCCAAUAAAUUUAUACUUGGCUCUCAUUAAUCUCGCUAAUGUUUGUUUUGAUCAUCACCGAUGUUGAGAAUCUGAAGUUUAUCUUCCUUGAUGAAUCUAUAAUUGUUGCUAAUGUCCACAUAGAUUAACACCGAUGAUUAGAAUCUAAAGUUUCUUCCUUGAUGAAUCUGUAAUCGGUACUCGUAAAUCUUACUAAUGUCUGCUUAGAUCACUACUGAUGUUUAUAUUCUGAAGUUUCUUCCUUGGUGGAUCUAUAAUUGGUGCUCAUAAAGUGUACUAAUGUCUUCUUAGAUCAUAACCUAUCUAGAGUUUUUAUUCUUGAUGAUGGAUCUAUAAUUGUUGCACAUAAAUCUUAUGCUGGAAGUGUUCAUGUUGAUUGACUAUGUUCAGGUCCCUUUGGUCGAGGUCAAAUGCAGAAACCAUUUGAGGAAGCGACUUACGCACUCAAGGUGGGAGAUAUAAGCGACAUUGUCGAUACAGAUAGUGGAGUCCACAUCAUUAAGAGAACAGCUUGACCUGAUCCGAUCUAAUAAAUGUAUCGAAGGUGCCAGCUUUGUUUCCCUUCUCUUCUUGACCAGAAGAACAUAGAAGAAGAAGAAUAAGAAGAAGUUAAUUCAAGGUUAUUGUUAUUGUGGUUUUGAUUCGGAAACUGUCUACGAAUUUGAUACAAACAACCCAAACAUAUGAUAAAACCAGACACUCUAUCUCAUUUCUUCUUAAAGCUUCAUAAGCACAUUCCAUGUCGUAGACAGUGAUUUGUAUAAUCAUAUUUCAGUAUCUUUGUCAUAUGUUACUGCAACAUUCUGGCAUCUUUUUUAGUGUUGUCAUUUUGCUCUUAAACUUUUGAUAAUCUUUGGUAGGGAUGUCAAAAUGGGUUAAUACCCAUGGGUUACCCGAACCAGUCCAUGAUUUUAGUGGGUUUGGGUAGAAUUUUUUUACCCAUAUAUAUAAAUGGGUUUUAGUGGGUUACCCUAUUAGGGUUAUGAGUUUAAUGGAUAAAACCCAUUACGGUCAUGGGUUACCCAUGAGUUUCAUAACCAAAACUAAAAAGUAAAAUUUAUAUAUUCUAUAUUAAUAUAUUAUGGAAAUUUAUAUAAAUAUAUGUAAAAUAUCUUUUUUCCUUUACAACUAUAUAAGUAAAAUAUCUAAAAUAACUAUUAAAGUUUACAUUUUAUCUAAAAAUAAAAGUAAAAAGUAAAAUAUAUGUAUAAUAUUAUUUUAAUUUAUUUAUUAUUAAAAGUAAAAAGUAAAAUAUAUGUAAAAUAUAUGUAAAAUAAAAGUAAAAAGUAAAAUAACUAGAUUUUUUUUAAUUUAUUAUUUAAAAAGUUUUGUUGGUUUACAAUUUUUUUUGGUUUACAAACUUUUGUUGGUUUACAAUUUUAUGUUAUUUUUUUGGAUUUUUAUUAUUUAUAUAUUUUAUUAUACAUAUAUAUGAGUACCCAUAUAAAACCCAUUAAGCCAAUGGAUUUCUACAAUAAUGGAUUUGGGUAUGUAAAUUAAACCCAUAUAAAUAUAUGGGUCGGAUCAAACCCGUCCAUUAAACACUCGAACCCAUAUAAGUUUGGGUCGGAUCGGGUCGGAUUACCCAUUUUGACACCCCUAAUCUUUGGCUCUCUUCUCCACUCUUAAUAUUUGAGAAAUCGUUUAUUGUUAGGCGUAAUUUAACGUCUAAACCAGUUUAGUAGGCUCGAGCGGGAUGUUUAGGCUUUUGACUUUUCUUAACAACAUUUAAGGUUAGACCCAUUUAGCAAUUAAUCUAAACAGGUUUUUAUAUUAAACAAGUCAUGGAGAACCCCAUUGUAUAGAACUUAUACAAACCAAACCUUAAGAUCGAUCCAAAUAGUUUUCUCUAAAAAAAUAUAUUUGAUUUAUGAUUGAUUAAUUAUGUGAAGCUGGUUAUACUUUUAUUUCCUCUUUGUAGUCAAUAUUUCUUAGUUGAUGUUACUCGUUUCACACUUGGAGUUUCAACACUAUUUAAAUUUAUAAAACGGCUAAUUAAAUACCUAGUUAAAACAUUCAAAGACGUUAAGUUAAGAUAAUUAAUAUCACAGUUUCACAUUUCAUUCCAUAUAAAUAAGCAAGGAUCUUAUUGUUGUUCAUCAAUCAAAAACAAUCAGAGCAUUAAGCAUAUAUUUGAGAUUUGGCUAUACUAAGGCUUUUUUACUCAAUUUUUCAUUAUGUCUAUCAAAAAUGUGCUUUCACUCAUAGCAGUUCUAUGCAUCAUAGUUUCUGUAAAUGCUCAAUUGCCACAGUUUCCGGCUCCGUUUUCUUUUCCAUUUCCGUUCCAACCGAUUUCUGGUAUGCCAGGAUUACCUGAUUUAACAAAAUGUUUGUCAUCCGUGAUGGAUAUUCCUGGAUGCAUUGCAGAGAUUUCUCAAUCCAUUUUCACUGGAAAAUUCGGUAAUUUAGGUCCGGCUUGUUGCAAAGCAUUUUUGGACGCCGAAGACAAUUGCAUACCGAAAAUUCUAUUCAUUCGGUUUUUCCCUCCGAUACUAAAGGAACAAUGUUCAAGAAUUGUCGGUGCAACUCCUCCGACACCAAAAUAGAGUUUUAAUUUAUUUUAAAGAUUAUGAUUUUUUUUCAACUUAUUUCUUAAAAUUUUAGCUUACUCUACAUGUUAUACUCCAAAGAAAAAACAAUGAUACAGUGAUAACAUUUGAGAAGUUGUAUUUGGGUUCAAUAUUUACUCAUUCUUCAAUUCUAAUGAAUAACACCUUAAACAUCAAGUCCAUAAUUAAUUUAGUCUUGCAAUGUUUCAGAUUUUCAUAAAUCUUUUAAACAUGUGUAACACAAAAUCUGCGAACAACUAAUAACUUUACUAGAUAAGGUCCGUCUAAAUAGCUGGGUAUGAGAAAUAAACUAUUUUUUUUUUAAUCUAUCUUUUCAAAAGCCAAUUUACAAUCUUACACUUUUUAUUUUUGCAAUAAAAUUUAACUAUUUAUAACACGUCUUUACUAAUUAUAUAUAAUAAGGUAUUUCUCAAAGUGCAACAAAAAGAUAAGGAAAGGACAAGAGACUGCAGCAAGAAAAAGACGGACCAAGCGUAGCCAGAGAAUGUGGCAAACAAAUUGAACUAAGAAAGAAGAAAAUUAAAUUAAAUUAAAAAAAUACAAGGAUAAACAUAUUGAAGUUACAGUUUUCAAAAAACAUAUAUAAGGUACAAAAUUAGAAAAUAUUAAAACAUGUAUUAAUAUUUUUUAAAAACAAAAUAGGGAACUUUCACUUCUAUUUUGAAUAUAUUAACAAUUUUUAAUAGAAUUAAUUAGUUUGAUAUAUUAAAUAAAAAAUUUUAAUAUAUAAACAAAAAAUUUUGAUUUAUGUAUAUAUUUCCUUUUCCCGAUAGGGUUAGAAAAUAUUUUUCUACUUUUGUUUUUAAAUAUAUCAAAAUUAGGUUUGAUAUAUGUAGAUAUCUCGUUAAUAAAUUUAACACAUGUCGCGUUCACGUGAAUUACUAAUUUUGUCAACUUUAUAUAAUAAGACGGCAAAAAACGCUGGUUUAAAUUUUAGCCCUUCAGUUUUUUUAUUAAGCCAAAUUUAACCAUUUAUUGGCCUCAUAACUGCGUUAUUAAGAAUGUUUUUAAAAAAAUUGUAAUAUUUCAAUGAAAAUUAAGAAAUGCUUCAAAAUUGAGGAUUUAUAUUCAAUAGAAAACACACUCGUUCACAAAAUGCAUAGUAGACCAAAAGAAAGAUCACCAACACCAAGUGUGUUUCUCGGAUAAACACAUGGAAUCCAGCCAUUACUUAAACCACACGUGUACGCUCAAGAUUUGAUUAUUGCACACGUAACCGAUCCUCUGACAAAAACCAUAACGAAUCCCAAAAACACACGAAUACACUUCUCCGCGCUAUAAAUAAGCUAGCUCAGAAAAUUUAACAGAUAGAGACAAGACAAACAAAGCAACACUUUCACUAAUCCUCUUAUGGCCGAAGAGAAGACCUUGAAGAAGACUCCGGCGGCGAAGAAGCCGCGAAAACCGAAAACCACCACUCAUCCUCCAUACUUUCAGGUGAGUUUUUCUUUUGAGUUCUAACUCUUUCUUUCGAGUUCUGUCUAUUAAACUUGGUUUGUUUUUGUUCUUGUUUUUGAUGAAGAUGAUAAAAGAGGCUUUGAUGGCUCUUAAAGAGAAGAACGGAUCAAGCCCUUACGCUAUAGCUAAGAAGAUAGAGGAGAAACACAAGUCUUUACUUCCAGAGAGUUUCCGUAAAAUACUUUCUCUACAGCUUAAAAACUCUGUCGCGAAAGGUAAGCUCGUGAAGAUCAGAGCCUCUUACAAGCUCUCAGAUACCACCAAAAUGACAACGAGGCUACAAGACAAGAAGAAUAAGAAGAAUAUGAAGCAAGAAGAUAAAGAGAUCACAAAGAGGACUAGGUCUUCUUCGACAAGGUCCAAGAAGAGUAUGUCUGUGAACAAACAAGAAAAGAUGAGGAAAGCGAAGAAGGCGAGACAGCCUAAGUCCAUCAAAUCUUCAGCUGGUAAGAAGGCCAUGAAAGCUUCCGCUGCUUGAUCACUGAGGAGGAGGAGAAGAAGAAGAAACUGUGUGUGAAUAUGAAGAAUAAGGUUUUUUUUUUAGUAUCUGUAAAUGGUUUGGUGUGGUCUCUUUUUGGUUUAAGAGUAAAGAGUCUUCGGAUGUAUAACUAGUACUACCAUGUAAUAUACUCGAAAUAGGUUUUUGCUCCGGUUGAGCUAAAAUUUGUUCAAAUAAUCCGAGAAACAAAGGCAGAACCAAAUUCGAGUAAAUUUGGGGUUAACUAAAGCUAAUCAUUGUUGUAAACCACAUAACGGAUGGACUCCAUAACCGUGGCCCAUGUCCAUGUUCUAGAAGGUCCAUGUCUAGCUUUUAGAAGACUCGCCCAAUGACGGUUUAUGUUAGUCUUAGUGGGCUUUGUGCUUUAGGGUUUCCUAGUCCAAUUGGGAUUUGUCUCCCUUAUUGUGUAUAUAUAAGUUGUAACCUCAUUCAUUAAUCAAGAGAAUACACGAGAUUCAUAACACGUUAUCAGCACGAUAGCCUCUAAAUCCCUUAGCUAAAGAUCUGACACAUAAACCCUAAUCUCACGAUCUCUCUAUCUCCAUCAAACCCCUAAAACGCAAAGAAAUAUGCCUCGGAACUUCAAAGAGGUCGUUCUCUCAAAUCGUGAGGACCCAGAAAACGAGCAAGAUACCAAAUCGAAGCCCUCGCCGAGACGAAUCCAUCAGUGCAAACGGCUUGUCGAUCUGACCACCGACGCGCCCUCACGCACAGAUACAGUGUGCGCCGAUUUGUUUUGAAAACCCUAGCUAGCUCGUCCGUCCGUUUGCUUUCUCCUUUGCUCGGCGAUUCCUUCCAAGGACCAUACGCUCAUGACAAGUUGAUAACCGAGUUCUUUAGCUCCCGGUUCUAGUCCGUACAACCCCAUAAGGUGAAAGGUAACAUCAAAACCCUAAAGCUAAAGAACCAACAAUCGAACUUGAAAGUUAAACAAAGAGAAACUCUAAAAACGAACCUUGCUUGAUAAGCAAUUGUUAUUUCCUUGGAUGAUCCGAUUGCUUGACUCGUUUAAGUUGCUAGAAAAGUUAUUAUUGCUUAAUCUCAAACUUGCAAACUCGAAAACACUUAGCCAUGACCAAAACUUUUAAGACCCUAAAUCGAAUUGGAAACCUAAAACCCUAAAAUAUAAUCGAUUGAUUAAGGUUGUUUAGGUUGUUAGAUUGAUUGUUUCUUUGAUUGAUUACAUGCAUAAGUUGUUAGAAACCCUAAAACUAAAUUCGCAUAAACCCUAGAAACCUUAGAAAAGAUAAUCCUAUUGUAAAUCUUAAAACCCUAAAUCCCUAAUUAAAAUAGGAAAAUCAAAAAUCCUAUUGUAAAUAGGAAAAUCCUUAAUUGAGUUAAUUCUAUUCAAAAUAGAAAAUUUCCAAAUCCUAAAUAAAAUAGGAAAUCUUAAAAAUCUAAAAUCAUAAGUGAAAUAGGAAAAGUUAAUCCUAAUUAAAAGAGGAAAUUUUAAAACCUUAAAACCCUAAUUAAAAUAUGAAAUCUUAAAACCCUAAAAUACUUAUUAAAAUAGGAAAUCUUAAAACCCUAAAUUCCUAAUUAAAAUAGGAAAUCUUAAAACCCUAAAAUCCUAAUUAAAAUAGGAAAUCUUAAAACCUAAAAUCCUAAUUAAAAUAGGAAAUCUUAAAACCCUAAAAUCCUAAUUAAAAUAGGAAAUCUUAAAACCCUAAAAUCCUAAUUAAAAUAGGAAAUCUUAAAACCCUAAAAUCCUAAUUAAAAUAGGAAAUCUUAAAAUCCUAAAAUCCUAAUUAAAUUAAGAAAUUCCUAAAACCUAUUCAAGAUAGGAAAACCUUAAGAAAUAGAAAAAUUUCUAAAUCCUAAUCAAAAAAGAAAUCUUAAAAAUCUUAAAUCCUAAGUAAAAUAGGAAAACCCUAAUCCUAAGCAAAAGAGGAAAUUUAAUCCUAAAAGGAAAAGGAAAAGUCAAAUCUCUAAGUAAAAUCGAUUCAUGGUUCGGUCUUAAAUACCGCAUGACAUUAACGAUUACAUGAUUUUGAUUUAAACCUCUUUUCCUUGUAGAUGUUGAAUUACAACUUGUAUUUUACUGCCCUAAAUCUCUUAAGAGAUAAUUAUUUAAAAUGGGCAAUGGAUACUAAGAUUAUCCUAAAAUUCAAAAGGACUUGGUGAAUGUAUCUAAUAAGGCAAUAAUGUCAAGAAAGAAAGAUAGAUACAAGGCAAUAUUAGCCACCAUCUUAUUGAGAGUCUCAUAAUCCAGGACUAUAAGUCCGUGGAUGAGUCUAUUGCUAGAUGAGCAAAAUAAUGACUUACUGAUAAAAACAGUGAAUUACGACCUCAUAGAUUAACCGCAUUACCUGAUGCCAAUAAGGCCGCAGAGGAUAAGAAAGAAUCCAAAGAAUCUAACCACGUCUAAAGUAAUAGACCACACGGCCGUAGCCGUAGUGGAUGGAAAGGACGUGAUUGUGGCCACUAUAACUCAUCCGGCCGUGGGAACCACUAUAACCGUGGAUGUAGACCCAAUUCCGGCCGUGGUCGAGGGCGAGGACGAUGUGGUAUUUCCAAACCACAACACUCGACCAAAUGAGUAUGCCAUAGAUGUGGAAUGGGGAACUAUUGGGCUAAGAUAUGUAGGACUUCCAAACAUCGUUGUGACCUCUAUCAAGAGAGUGUGAAAAGGAAGAAUCCUAAAGCCCAUUUGGUAUAUAAAGAUGGUGAACAUGAUCAAGAUGAUCUAAUAGAGUGUGAGACUUUUGAUUGCCUAAAAGAAUCAAGUUGAUAAAUCUGAGUUCGACAUCAAAACCUCUACGCUUUCUUUGCAUUUUAUGUUUUCAUUGAUUGUUAUUUCCUUGAAUUUAUUUUAUAUUAUUUUAUGUUUAAAACAUGAUUCUUGUCCAUAUAAGAAAUGGCCGAGGACAAGAACAUAUUUGUGGUGGAUAGUGGAGCCACACAAAAGAUAAGAGAUAUUUUCCUAAAUCUCAUAAUGAAAAAAUGCCAAUAUUAGCACUAUAGCGGGUAUAGCAAAUCUUAUUGAGUGCUACGGCCAAGCCCAUAUUCUAUUACCAAAUGGCACGCAUCUUGAACUAAGCGAUGCCUUAUAUUCACCCAGCUCAAAGAGGAGCUUAUUAAGUUUCAAAGAUAUAAGAUUGAAUGGUUUCCAUAUUGAAACAAAGGGUGAAGGGAACAAAGAAUUCCUAAAUAUAAUUGAGAUCACCCAAGGACAUAAGAAAGUCCUAGAGACUAUACCCGCAUUAUCCACUGGUCUCUACUAUGCUAAAAUCGAUAUGAUCGAAGCUAAUAUGGCAAUGAACAAAGAGUUCAUCGAGAAAUUCACUUUAUGGAAUGACCGGCUUGGCCAUCCGGGUCAUAGUAUGAUGCGUAAACUAAUAACUAAUUCAAAGGGGCACACCCUAAAAGAGAAAAGAGUUAUCCCUAAGAAUCUCACGUGUGAAGCAUGUUCACAAGGGAAACUCAUUAUAAGGCCAUCACCGGCUAAGGUAAAUAUAGAAACCUUAAACUUUCUGGAAAGGAUACAAGGAGAUAUAUGUAGACCAAUACACCCACCAUGUGGGACAUUUAGAUAUUACAUGGUCCUCAUUGAUGCAUCGACAAGAUGGUCGCAUGUUUGUUUAUUAUCCUCUAGAAACCAAGCGUUUGCUAGGUUGUUGGCCCAGAUCAUAAGACUGAGAGCCCAUUUUCCAGAUUUUCCGCUUAAGACUAUACGUCUAGAUAAUGCCGGUGAAUUAACGUCCCAAGCGUUUAAUAACUACUGUAUGUCCAUGGGGGUAAGUGUGGAACAUCCCGUGGCACAUGUACAUACACAGAAUGGAUUAGCGGAAUCCUUCAUUAAACGAAUUCAAUUGAUAGUUCGACCAUUACUCAUGAGGUCGAAGCUUCCAGUAGCCGCUUGGGGACACGCUGUUUUACAUGCAUCAGAGCUUAUACGCAUAAGGCCAUCUAGUGAACAUAAAUAUUCACCAUCCCAAUUACUCAUGGGUCAUGAGCCAGACAUAUCCCAUCUAAAGACUUUCGGGUGUGCCGUAUAUGUACUGAUUGCUCCACCACAUAGAACAAAGAUGGGACCUAAAAGGAGGAUGGGAAUAUAUGUUGGAUUUGAUUCUCCCACCAUUAUUAAAUAUCUAGAGCCAACUACGGGUGAUCUAUUUAAGGCUAGAUACGCGGAUUGUCAUUUUAAUGAAUCCGAGUUUCCUACUUUAGGUGGAGAGACGAACAAGCUUAAAUUAGCAAGAUCCUCGGACUCUGGCAUGAGAAUCAGAGGUCCAUAAUUAUACAUUUGAAAAGCUAGCUAAUCAAUUGCCAGAUUCCUUUGCUGACCCAAAAGAAAGUUACAAAAUCGUACAUACCAGCUUGUAAUGCACCAGUACGAAUUGAUGUCCAAAAGGGACUUAGUCAAGUUGCUACAGAGUCUAGACAACGUAUGAGACGUGGUAGACCAAUAAGUUCCAAUGAUAAAAACCCUCGGAAAUUAAAUAAAGGUGCAAUAGGAAUCCGAGGUUACUAAGGAAACUAUCCCAGACAUAGAGAUAAGGCCGGCCGGCUCUAAGGUACAUGUACCAUAUAAUGUAGCUUGGGACGCCAAGCUGCAAAGUAUUAAAGGUCCUGACCAUAAUAAAUCUCAAAUUGAUUAUAUCAUGUCUGGAACAUAAUGGAACAUAUAAGAAAUGUCGACAUAAGAUUAUAUUGCAUGCAAGGUAGCACUUGAAUUUAUGAAUAUAAAUGAGGAUCAUGAGCCCACGUCUAUACUAGAGUGCACUCAAAGACUUGAUUGAUUAAAUGGUACAAGACCAUAAAACGUGGAGCUAAGAAUCAUUAAGAAAAGGAAUGAGUUUGGUCCGACCUUAAGGACACCAUUCGAUGUAAAAACCAGUAGGACACAAAUGGGUCUUUGUGAAGAAGAGAAAUGAGAAUAAUGAAAUCGUGAGAUAUAAGGCACGGCUUAUAGCACAAGGAUUCUCACAAAGACCGGGGAUAGAUUAUGAAGAAACAUACUCCCCUGUGGUGGAUGCUAAAUCUGGCUAUAUAAAGGAAAAGAUUUGAUUUGCGGCUAAUGGAUGUAAUGCCUGCAUAUUUAUAUAAGUCCACCGGAUAAUAUAUAUGAGAUUACCAGAGGGUAUUGAGCUCAAAGAUAAGAAAGAUUCUCGAGAAUAUCACUGCAUAAGGCUGGACAAAUCUUUUCAUGGACUUAGACCAAAUGGGCGUAUGGAAUGUUAUAAAUGAUCCCAUUAGUCCAUGUAUUUUCAUAAAGAGGUUUGCAAACAAAGGAUUUGUAAUCAUAGCAGUGUAUAUGAAUAAUUUAAACCUCUGGGUAAUCGACCAAACAGUUGAGUAUAUCUAAAAGAAAGACCUAGGCAAUAAUUAAGUUCUGUUUGAGAUUACAACCUGAGUACAUGAAUAAUGGAAUCCUUGUGCAUCAAAAGGCAUAUACUGAAAAGUACUCAAGGAUAUUUAAUAAGGACCAGGCCCGCCCAUUGACCAGGCCCAAUGGUGGUGAGAAGCCUUGGAUUGGAUAGUGAUCCAUUUGGUCCAAAGAAGGACGAGGAAGAAGUUCUCGGUCCUGAAGUGCCAUACCUCAGUGUCAUAGGAGUGUUAAUGUACUUGGCUAGCCACACUAGACCAGACAUAUGUUUUGCCGUGAACCUCCUUUGUCUAAAUUUAGUUUAUGAUCAACCCAAAGGCACUGGAAAGGUUUGAAGGAAGGUUUGGUUAAAUUUUAAAGUUUAUUCUUCCUACUUUGUUUAUUUGGGUUUUAUUCUAUACUGAUCUAACCAAAGAAGGUCUAGUUUGCUUUGGUUUAGUUUGUUUUGCUAAUGCAGGUAAGAUCAGAUUAUGACAUGGCCAAUAAAUAGGAACUACGUGUGGCUUGAUCCUUUCCAAGGGUACGUAGGCAGCCUUCUUCAAGGCGCAUCUACUACAACAUCAAAGAUCAUCAUAUGUGAAGACAACGUAGCCAUGUAUCGCUCAGCUCAAGGACGGCUACAAAAGGAUGGUGAAGUUCAAGUGGUGCAAGUUCGUUCAAGCAACAACUUAGCCGAUCUCUUCACUAAAGCACUACCGACAACAACAUUAAGGAAGCUCACGCAUCAAAUUGGAAUGCGGAGACUUAAGGACUUGUAGGGAUGACCAAAACAGGGGGAGUAAUGCGUGCUGUACUCUUUUUCCUUCACCGUUAUUUUGUCCCAAUGGGUUUUCCUGGUAAGGUUUUAAUGAGGCAGCAUUCCCAAGCGCAUUACAAAGAUCCUUUGGCAUCUACACGGUUAUGUCAUCCAAGGGAGAGUGUUGUAAACCACAUAACGGAUGGACUCCAUAACCGUGGCCCAUGUCCAUGUUCUAGAAGGCCCAUGUCCAUGUUCUAGAAGGUCCAUGUCUAGCUUUUAGAAGACUCGCCCAAUAACGGUUUAUGUUAGUCUUAAUGGGCUUUGGGCUUUAGGGUUUCCUAGUCCAAUUGGGAUUUGUCUCCCUUAUUGUGUAUAUAUAAGUUGUAACCUCAUUCAUUAAUCAAGAGAAUACGCGAGAUUCAUAACAAUCAUAUAUUUUAAAUCGUUGAAUUGAAUAUAAAAAGGCUUGAUACUUAUGUAUGAAUAAGAUGAGGCCUUAAGACUUUUGAAACGGCCCAAUUUGGGGGUUAUACUAAGCCCAUACGGUAGUUCACUUAUCAAUGGGUAGUGUGUACUACGGUAGUUCACUUAUGAACUCUUUGGGAGUGAAAAAGGGAGGCCAUAAUAUGGUUGAUUAGAAAGUUUUGUUUUUCUUGGUGAUUUGUCGCAAUUAAAAAGUCGUUAAUUAUUUCCAAAUCAACAAUCAAUCAUAUAAAUUAAUUAGCUACUUUCUUUUUAGAAAACAAUAAACGUGGAAUGUUCCCAUUCCUAACAUAUAUUUCUCUCUUAAAACUAUUUUUAAUAUCCACCGUACGUUUUCCUUAUGAAAAAUCAUCUCUAGUAAUUUUCCUCGUGGAAAAAGUUGCAUGAGAUGUGAGAACCAACAUCUAACACUUAUUAGUUAUUAUAUAAAUUAAAUUUCGAAGUGAAUAAAGAUUUUUAAAAAGAUUGAUAUGAGAUGAAAUAAAGUUUUAAAUUGAAGACUCUUGCUCCCAAAGUCUCGUUAGUGUUGUGGACGACAAAGCAUGCCCAACGGAGCCCCGUUGUGCACACCGCACGCUCGACAUCUCCUUACCCCACAACAAUGAUUUCUAAUUCUGAUUCCUAAUUAUACUUAAAUUAGUUGCUCCUUUAAUCAUCUCUAUAAGACUGACUAACUUUAAAUUAGAAAACCACAAAAUUCAUACCGUCAGGGCGUAACAAUAACUCUACCCUAGUCACUCAAACUCGAAUAUAGAUAGUACGUAACGUAAUAUACAUUCAUAUCCUCACUCAUUCACAACCCUAACGCAUUCUUUUCAUAAAACUAGAUAUGGUAACCAUAUAUAUAUAUAUAUCUUUUUAAAAUAAGUUAUACUGUUAAUUAAUAAUUUCAUAUUAAGUUUAAGGCAACGUACCAACACAUCUCACCAUGGCAUCUAGCCAUCUAUGUAGUUCAUUCAAUUAUCAAAUACGCAAAUCCCAAUAUCAUAAUCCGAGUUUGUACUCAAGAACUCACUGAUGAACCUGUUCUCUUCUUCUCUCUCGUUCAAAAACAUCGACGAAUCAAUCUCCACAUCAUUCUUGUUUUUAUCUUCAUUAGCUAUAUGAUGACCUGCGAAACCUGAAGUUCCAUUAUCUUCUUGGCUCAUAAGUUGUGAAGCAACAAACUUAUCUAACUCUCUCCAAUCUCCCGUCAUCAUUACUUGCUUUUUCUUCUUUCUUUUAUUCUCUCGGCUUAUUAAUGACUCGAAGCUUUCUUCAUCCUCUGAUGGGGUUUUGUAGUUACAAUGGUUGUCCAUUGAUGUUAUGGACAUCGAGCUCGAAGGCCUUUUCAUCAGCGGGAGAGAAGGACUUUGGAGUUGCGGGAGCUGAAUGAAUUGAUUUGAUUGCAUAUAGUUUAGACCGUCAACCAUUCCUUCUAGUUCUUGCUUACACAUCAAACCUUUUCCAAAAAGUUUAUGUUGCUGCUUAGAUAUGUAAUCAAUCGGGUCCGUAAACGAGUUAACGCCAUUCGAUGCGACUUCAUCAUAGAAGUAACUUGAGGUCCAAGUUUCCGUGUUCUUGGCUUGCCCGGUAGCUCUUUUCUUGAAUGCUCUACAAACCACCCAUCCUUCUUCCUAAAAAAACGAAGAUGCACACAAAUGAUCAUAAGAAGACAUAACAUGUGAAUAGAAACUUUCGCUUGUUUUGAUGUUUCAAAAAAUUGGUAAAGCAUCAUAUUAUCCGUAAGGCCAAUGCAAACAAAAAGAUGGAGAAAAGGCAGUUAAAUUUUAGUGAAACACACAUAAGGACAUGCUUGAAAAGUGUGAGACCAAAAAUAAGAAAGCUAGUGAAAUCUUUAGGUACGUACUCAUGCAAUCUAAUAGAGUUUCACUUUUGAACUUUAUUGACUUUAAGAUAUUGGAAAAACAAGCACACAACUAUAAUUCAUAAACAAUAUAUAUUACAAACAUAUAUAUAGAUCAAUGUUUAUAGAGGAAAUUUCUAGCGUACCAAUAUAUAUGCUAUAGAUAAAUACAAAAGGUAACAAUUUAUAAUUGUUAUAAUUUAUAAACGAGACAAAGUUUUACACGUUUACUACUUCAAAAGGAAAUGUGAUUGAACUUCUUUUUUUUUUGUAGUGGAAAACUGUAAAUUCUGCAUUGACUGAAAUUAUAUACGAGUUUAGGAGAGACUUUUUACUUCCUUUUUUCUUUUCUGAUUGAAUAUGUGUAUUAUCCUACAUGAGUUAUAUACGUAAUGGAAUUUCACCUAAAAGUUAGCAUGUGCCUCACAAAAGAGCCAAAGAGACAAGAAGCCCUAAUUAAAACAAAAAUGUUUUGUCCCCACCAAAGUAGAAACACAAGUACCAGCCCCAUGGAAGUUUGUAUAAAAAGAGGACAUGAAAAAGGGUGAAAAGAUGAAUAUGAAACUUAACAAUUUAUCAUAUGAUUAAUCUUGAUUAAUAAGGUCAAUCCAUCAAAUUGAAAAUGAUUUAAUUAUAUGAAAUCAUUAAACAAUAUACCUGGGGCGGUGCAUUCUCAUCUGACUCGAGCCGGUACUCAUGCAUGAUCCAAUCGGAUUUCUGGCCAUUAGGAGCACGUCCUUUGUAAUACACAAGUGUUUUCCUCAUUCCAAUUAGUUUUGUUUUGUCGUAAACAGCUUUGUCUCUUCCCGUGGCUUUCCAAAAUCCAGCCAUGGUCGCUCUAUUAGUUCUUGUCCCCGUUGGAUAUUUUUUGUCCUUGUGACUAAAAAAAUACCAUUCAUUUUGCUCUUCAUAUCCGAUUCGACAUUGCUCUGUAACAUAAAAUUUAAGGUGAUGAUAAAAUCAUGAUCAAGUUUAUAAAUAUGAAAAGCCUAACUUAAGUAAUUGAAAAAGCUCUGAGUGUUUUGUAAGUAACCUUGUAGAUCCCAUGGUUCGAUUCUGUAGAGAUCAAUGUCUCUGAUCACAUCGAGAUCAAUCUUUUGCGAUGCGAUUUUCUUCCUUAGAUAGUAACCGACAAGCUCUUCGUCAGUCGGAUGGAACCUGAAUCCAGGAGGAACGCUACAAGAUUCCAUUGACUCCAUUAUUUCUACACCAAGAAAAUUAAAUACUGGAAUGAUCAAUAAUAUAAAUAUACAUGUACGGAAAUAUGCUCUUAUUUACGUAUUUGCUUGUAUAUAAUUUUUGAGAUCACAACAUAUGAUUCUAGAAGAUUUUAAAUGAAUGGUAAUAUGGGAUAGUGGAAGGCGAUAUAUAAGAGCUAUAAUGAAAAACAUAAGCUAAAUUUUGUAGAGAACAAUAAGAAGAAUUGAAGAAAUACAAUUAUCAUUUAUAGAGUACUAUUUAACAAAAUCAUUUAUAAUGUACUCGAUCGAUAGAUAGUUGACAAAAAGUUAUGAGAAAUAUAUAAUCAUAUGUAAGCUCAUUUCGUGGUGAAUUUCCACUUGAUCACCAUUCAAUUAAUUUAUCUCAUGACAUGUGAUUUAUGAUCAAGAACUUACAUAAAUUUAUUAAUCUAUAUACAUACAUACCUAAAAAGAUAUUUACAUGUAUGAAAUUUAGGUUUUGAGUUGAAGAAAUCAAGAUGAGAUGCGAUCAUAACAAACGGACAUGGGGAGUUUACUAAUGAUGCUGUCAUGUUGUACAUUGUUAGUAAAUGGAGGCAAUGAUCAUGAAGAACGGCGUUCUUCUCAAAACUCUUUUAUAUUAAAAUAAAAUUGAAAUCAAUCUAUUAUAAUGAUUAAUAUACUUAAGGAUAACCCUAGCAUUAUACAAACAAAAAACAGCUUGUUCAUCCAAAAAAAAUAUAGGGGACGAUCCAAACCUAUAAAUUCAUAAGAACCCAUGUUUCUUUGUUUAUAAGAAAUCAGUUUUUUGCCCAAAAAAAAAAAAAAAGAAAAAUAAAUCAGUUUAAUUUAAAUCGAAUAUAUAUAUAUAUAUAUAUAUAUCAUAUCUCUCCUUUUCUUGCUGCAGAUUCAACUUAAAACGACAGAAGGAUUAUAAUGUUUUAACGGUCCUGAUCGUUAAACAUUUUACAAAUAUGAAUCUAGGAUCGAUUGAUCAUUAAUGCCAUCUUUUGAUCAAAAUAUGUAGGGAAAGCUACAUAUAUAAAACCAGAUAACAUAAAAAAAAAACAUGAUCAAAAAUAGAAAUUAGUGAUGCUCAAAAGUUACAAAUAAUCCACAAACGAAGUCCAAAGAACACACAUAAUUAACAAAAAGAAAAAGAGCACACAUACGUAUAAGUAAUAUGUGUUUGAAAUCCACUCGUUAAUAAUAUUAGGGUUACCUUCGAGUAUGUGACGGAAACAAAAACAAAACCUAGGAAGAUCAAUGGUGGUGAGAACAACUUAAUUAUCAAUAUGGGAGCUAGAAAGAAGAGAGCAGUGGUGAAGAGAAGAAGAAGAAGAAGAGGACUGAAUUAAGGAGAAAGACGAUCCGAUUUGGUGAAUAUAAAGGUGAGGAGGAGAGAGUGUGGACCGCUCCAUUGCGCGUGGCCUUCACCAUGUCCCCAUUCAUUUACAUCACACUCUCCUCUUGUUUAUUUCUAUUUUUUUUUUCUCUUUUUUAGCUUCCCCUGUUUUAUUUAUUUAUGUACUCUCAUUUUCUUUUCUUUUCUUACCUAACGCAUGUAUAUAUUUAUGAAUUAACCUAAAUCCUCAAUCUAAAGAGUUAUAUAUGAGUUGGUUGUUAUAUGCUUAAUAAGAUUAGAUGAUUCUGAUUUAGAGUCGCAAAAAAUGUGAGCACUGUAAUUAUGGUUUGAUUUAUACCAUAAUUAAUCAAUAGAUAUAUAAUAUAUAGUAAAAUUUCUAUAAAUUAAUAGUCGAUAAACUAAUAAGCGGUAGAAAGCAGAUGUGAUGGGAGAGAGAGAGAGAAGAGAAUGUUGCAAAUCAUGAAUUUGUAGCGGCAAAAAAUGGAUGUAACGUUCAUGAUGAUUAUUUUAAAUUGUGUGUAAUUUUUUGAUGUUAAUAAUAUAUUUUUUUUGAAGAUCAGAUUUUGGAUCUAAGUCCAUACAACUAGUAUCAGAAUAAGUUGUUUGAGUUGCGAUUCAGGAAACAAUGAGAAGAGAAAAUGGUUCGAUGCAUAGUAUUUGCAAGUUCGAUAGAACAUUUCACUUUUAUCAGAUUUUUUAUAUAUUAUAUAGUUUGCUUUGAAAUUUUUGUAAUUAAAUUUCACCUUUAUUUUUGGAAGAUUUCUAAAAUUAUAUCCUAAAGAUAUUUUAGAUAAUGAUUUUUUUUUAUCUAAUGGUUGACCAAUGGUUAAUUAAUGUUUCUACACAAAUAUGAGAUUCGAUUAUUAAAAAUGAUAAAUUAUUGCAGACUAAUGGAAGCAAGCCUAUCAGAGAUUUAGCGGUGUGCAAAUAGAAUUAUUGUGAUUUAGUAAUAGAUUUACAAUAUAUUAUGAAGAAUAAAAAAGUUAUUGAAUAACUUUUUCAUUAAUCAUAGUUUGCAUCUGUAGAUGUUCUGGCUUUUAGAAUGAUCUUUGAUUGACAAAUAAGCUAAAACCUCUUUUUGUAAUUAUGUAGUUUAAAGGUAAUUAAUUAUGUCAAAACCAAUUACAGUGUAUUUAAUUUUAGAAGAUACGGUUUAGUUUAAUAAUAAAUUUUCUUGGAAUUUUUUUUCAUAAUUAUUUGAAAAACAUAAAUGUUAAAAGAUGCAUGCAGCUUCUAAUGAAAUAAGUUGUUAUAAGCGAAAAUAUUCAAAUCUAACAAUGAAAUGAUAAAGUACAACCCUAAUAAACGGUUCUGUGCAGAAAGUUAUGAAAAAAACCCUUCUUCCUUCUAUAAAAUCUCGUCGUCCACUUUGGUUUAAGUUUGCUAGAGACUAGAGAAAUAUAAAGAAUAUCCAAACACAAAGAAAAAAAAGUGAGAAACUUUAGAAAAGCUAAUGGAACCGAUCGAGUACAAUGUUUUUGAGUCCUCUAAAUGUAACUCCCACGACGACGACCAUGGAUGGAAGAAAGUCGUGUCCCGGAAGCGCAACCUGAAGCAAAAACCAGCGGAUGAAGAGGCCAAUGGAAACCAACCUACCGGCGAGAACGUCAAUGUGGAGGCGAUGAAUGAGAAUCAGAAGGCAAAGAAAACUAAAAAGUCAAAACCCAAGAAAGAGAUGAAGCCUAUAGUGCCUUUUUCCGAAGCUGCGGCAAAGAUCGAUCCUUCACAUCUUGCGGCUUACCUCGUCGAAAUAUCGGUAAGUCAGUGCAUGCAUGCGAUGUGAAAUUCUCAUCUAAAAUGGAUAAUAUACGAAUCAAAAUUCAUAUUUUGUUGUUUUGUUUGGUUAUAGAAAACAUAUGCGUAUGAGCCGGAGGUUUAACUAUUGAGAUUUAUCUAUUACUUUGAGAGAGAGACUUCCGGAGUGCAAUUUCCAUGGUCAAAGAUUCUCAAAGAGUCUCCUUUGCGCAAGCUGAUCGAUGUGAUCGAUGUUCCUUUUAUUAACAUAUAUGUAUAAUGGUUAUUGUUAGAGUAAAGUUUCCUUUAGCUUACUCUAAGUGUAUAUAAGGAACAUGUGUAUCAACAUUCUAAUCAAGAAGAUUAAUAUCAUAUUUUUACACUCUCUCUCUAGUUAAUAUGGUAUCAGAGCAAAAAUGAGAUUUUCUCUCUCUAUAACAGAAAUCUCAAAGCUUCUUCCGCAAUAUCAUCAUCUUCUUCUUCUUCUUCUUCGAUUUCAGCUCAAAUCAAUGAAAUCACCAUCGUUAUCAUCCUAAAUCUUCCAUUUCUAGUUUCGUCGAGCUCCAAUUUCAUCAAUGGAGAUCUCGAUUUCAUCAUAAUCGCAAUCUGUUUCGCGAAUCAUUUUUCCAUUCAUCACAGAAGCAAUUGCUCUAAAUCUCUUUCUGAUCGAUUCGUCUAUCUGAAUGAGUCAUAUGAGUCUACAAGGAGACACAUCUUGAUGUUAAAACCGAUUCCAACUAUUGAGGAUGCCUUUAAUAUGGUGACUCAGGAUGAAAGACAGAGAAGUAUUAAGCCUUCUACAUCAGAACCUGUAGUUUUUCAAACUUCAGGAUCAAAUCAAGCAUCUGGAUCAUCCAACCAUUAUUCUCAAGAUGUUUCUUCAUAUCAAGGUCAGCUGGAUAAUACAGCUUUUGCUAUUCAGAAUGGAUAUCGUCCUCGUGCACCACGACCUAUCUGUACUCACUGUGGUCAAACUGGUCACGUUAUACAAAAAUGCUUUAAGCUUCAUGGAUAUCCUCCCGGCUACAUUCCAGGAUUUAAGAGCACUUUCUCUAACUAUCAACCUCAGAGAUCAUCUGCUCCAUCUAAUUUCCAGCCUAGAGGAUAUUCUCCAAACACUGUCUCUAGACCUCAUUCAGUUGCCAAUGUGAUGACUAGUCCUAUUCCCUACACUCCACCAUCAGCAAUAGAUGCUAUGAAUUUGGAUAUUAGCAAGCUGAAUGGAGAUCAAAUUCAGACAUUGAUUCAACAACUCUCAAGUCAUAUUCAAGUUUCAGAGCCUUUGGCACCUUCCCCAUCCACAUCAAAAGUCACAGAGCAUGGUAUAAUGGUUGUUCAAUCAUCAUCGGGUAUAAUUCCUUUUCCUUCUUCAUCUCUUCGAUAUGAAAAUGAUCAAUUAACAUUCCAACAUCAAUGUCUCUCAUCUUUAUACUCUAAUCUUCCUCAUGGUAGUUGGAUUAUAGAUAGUGGUGCUACUACACAUGUGUGUUCUGACUUAGCAAUGUUUGGUGAAACUACUACAGUUUCUGGAGUAACUGUUUCACUUCCUAAUGACACUAGAGUAAAUAUCACACACACGGGCACAAUAUCACUAUCUCAUUCACUCAUUCUUCAUGAUGUUUUACAUGUUCCUUCAUUCAAAUUCAAUUUGAUUUCUGUGAGUAGUCUUUUAAAAACAAAUCAUUGCUCUGCUCAUUUUUAUGUUGAUUCUUGUAUAAUUCAGGAGUUUAUUCAGGGCUUGACGAUUGGUAGAGGCAUACUUCUGCAUAAUCUCUACAUAUUACAACUUGAUGCACCUUCUACUCAUGAUGAAUUCUCUGGAUCCUUGAUGGCUGAUGGAAUUCUUUGGCAUCAACGCCUUGGACACCCAUCUGCUGACAAGUUACAAUGCAUUUCUGGUACUCUUUCUUUGUCUAAGUCUGCUUUUAAACAUCCAUCUCAUUGUUCCAUCUGUCACUUAGCAAAACAAAAAAGAUUGUCUUAUGAGUCUCAUAAUCAUUUGUCUUCACUUCCAUUUGAUCUAAUUCAUUUAGAUGUGUGGGGUCCUUUCUCUAUAGAGUCUGUAGAAGGAUAUAAAUACUUUCUUACAAUAGUUGAUGAUUGUACACGUGUAACAUGGGUUUAUAUGAUGAAGAAUAAAAGUGAAGUUACACAACAUUUCUUAUCUUUUAUUAAGCAUGUUCUUACACAAUAUAAAGCUGUCAUUAAAAUGAUUAGAACUGAUAAUGCUCCUGAGCUUGCAUUUACUUCUAUUGUUAAAGAACAUGGAAUGAUACAUCAAUUCUCUUGUGCAUACACACCUCAACAAAAUUCUGUAGUAGAACGCAAGCAUCAACAUUUACUAAAUGUUGCAAGAUCAUUGUUGUUUCAAUCGAAUGUUCCUAUUGCAUAUUGGAGUGAUUGCUUGUUAACUGCUGUUUUCCUUAUAAAUCGUUUACCAUCUGUUUUACUCAAAAAUGUAUCACCAUAUGAACUUCUUACAAAAAGAAAACCUACUUAUGAUUUUUUAAAAUGUUUUGGCUGUCUCUGUUAUGUUUCCACUUUACAAAAAGAUAGAACAAAGUUUACUCCUCGUUCAGAAAAAUGUGUUUUCUUAGGUUACUCUUCUGGAUAUAAAGGGUAUAAAGUACUUCAUCUUGAAUCUAACAUUGUUUCGGUGUCUAGAAAUGUUAUAUUCCAUGAAACUAUUUUCCCUUUUCAUGAUAAUCCAGCAUCUUCAAAUUCUGAGAUUUUUAGUAACACUAUUUUACCAUUACCUAUUCAUCUUCAUAAUGAUUUGCAAGAUAAUAUGCAUGCUUCAUCUAGUCAAUCAUCAUUGCCUAAUGAUCAUUCAGCUGCAUCAUCUACAUUACCAUCAUCACUUACACACUCUAGUGUCACACCUAUUUCACAAGAAACAGUUACAACAGAGACUGCUGUUGUUUCACUUCCUGUUGCUCGGCCAAAACGCACAGGUAAGGCUCCUAGCUACUUAACUGAUUACCACUGUUCUUUCACACAAAUUUCUUCUCCACCUAAAAAAUCUUUCCCUCCACUCAAAGUCUUUACCACACCAUAUCCCAUUUCUUCUGUUUUAUCCUACUCUGCCUUAAAAUCCCCAUAUCAGGCUUUUACUCUUUCUUACUCCAUUGAAACAGAACCCAAAACCUUUAAACAAGCUAUUGUAUCUGUGCAAUGGACUAAAGCGAUGGAUGUGGAACUUGAGGCUAUGGAAUUGAAUAAAACUUGGAGUGUUGUCUCUUUGCCUCCAGGGAAGAAUGUUGUUGGGUGUAAGUGGGUUUACACGAUUAAAUACAAUCCUGAUGGUACUGUUGAAAGGUACAAGGCGCGUUUAGUAGCAAAGGGAUUCACUCAGCAAGAAGGAGUGGAUUAUUUUGACACUUUCUCACCAGUUGCUAAAUUGGCCAGUGUCAAAUUAAUACUUGGUUUAGCUUCUAAGAAGGCUUGGAGCUUAACUCAGAUGGAUGUUACUAACGCUUUCUUGCAUAGUGAGCUUGAUGAAGAAAUUUAUAUGAGUUUGCCGCAGGGUUAUACACCAGUUUCUGGUUCUCUUCCUCCUAAUCCAGUCUGCAAGCUUCAUAAGUCCAUCUAUGGAUUGAAACAGGCGUCUCGUCAAUGGUAUAAGUGUCUUUCUAAAGCACUUUUGGAUGCAGGAUUCAUUCAAUCUCACUCAGAUGAAACACUGUUUGUCAGGCUGCAAGGUACAUCAUUCAUUGCCAUUCUUGUGUAUGUUGAUGACAUUCUCAUUGUCAGUAAUGAUAAUGAGCAUGUUACUUCAGUAAAAGCACAUCUUGCAGAUCAUUUUAAGAUAAAAGAUCUAGGUCAGGCUAGAUUCUUUCUUGGUCUUGAGAUUGCUAGGAAUUCAGAAGGCAUCUCUGUUUGUCAAAGGAAAUAUUGCCUGGACCUUCUUACUGAUGCAGGAUUAUUGGGCUGUAAACCUCGUUCUGUACCUAUGGAUCCAAAAGUUUCUCUAACAACAGAGACUGGUACAUUACUUGAGAAUGCAACAUCAUACAGGGAAUUGAUAGGCCGCCUUCUAUACCUUUGUGUAACUCGGCCAGACAUUACCUUUGCGGUACAUAAGCUGAGUCGUUUUCUCUCAUGUGCUACUGAUGUGCAUAUGCAUGCAGCUCAGAAUGUUUUGAAGUACCUUAAAGGUAAUCCUGGUCAAGGACUAUUCUACUCUGCUAAAACAGAUAUUUGCCUCAAUGGCUUUGCUGAUGCUGACUGGGGAACAUGUUUGGAUUCAAGACGCUCAGUAUCUGGAGUUUGUAUAUUUCUUGGAACUUCUUUGAUUUCAUGGAAGUCUAAGAAACAAGAAGUUUGCAGUGGUAGUAGUACAGAGGCUGAGUAUCGCAGCAUGGCUCAGGCCACAAAGGAUCUUCUCUGGUUCAGUUACAUGUUGAAAGAUUUACAUAUUGAGGUUGAAACAAAGGCCAAGUUAUUCUGUGACAAUAAAUCUGCAAUGCACAUUGCAAAUAAUCCAGUCUUCCAUGAGAGAACAAAGCAUGUUGAGAUUGAUUGUCAUACAACUAGAGAUCAAGUGAAGUUUGGGUUCUUACAAGUGCAUCAUGUUGAUACUGAGAAUCAGCUUGCGGAUAUACUCACCAAGCCAUUACAUCCGGGUCCUUUCAAAUCCAUACUUGGUCGUCUUGGUGUUUCAAGCCUCUUCCUUCCUCAGAAGUAAUUCGGCUUGAGGGGGGCUAUUAACAUAUAUGUAUAAUGGUUAUUGUUAGAGUAAAGUUUCCUUUAGCUUACUCUAAGUGUAUAUAAGGAACAUGUGUAUCAACAUUCUAAUCAAGAAGAUUAAUAUCAUAUUUUUACACUCUCUCUCUAGUUAAUACCUUUAUCUCAUAUUCCUGAACUUGUCUACAAAACAUCAGUCGAUGAUUGGAUCGACCAACAUCCAAUUAUGACACUAUGUGGCUUCGUAUUGUUUUCGUGUAAUCCUAUUUUCACUAAAUUGGCAGCACAACAAGGAGGUUCCAAAGGUGGAGAGGAUCCGGUAAUUCUGGAAUUCAAAUUCAUGAUCUAUGCUUAUGCUAGGCAUCAUUUUUACCUAUGUCUUUGUUUGACUAACUCCAUUAUGUUGUAUUUUUUUUUUUUUUACGACUAGUUGGCAACAUUUAUUGCAUUAGGAAUGGUACUACGUAGCAGACCUAAUGCUUUGGCUAUUGUAUUACCGACACUGAGGGGAGAAACGUAAGUAUCAAGGACACAACAACCUUCCGCUUAUAGUUUGGGUGACGGCUCAGGUUCGUGUGAUCCCUUAUGUGAACUAGGAGCAAGAGUACUGUUGAAUUAAUUUGUGUGUUAUGAAAUGUUAUUGAACUAUAAAAUGUGGACAGGCCUCCCAAGGUGAUUUAUAUGUAGGCUUGUAUUCAUGGGCGCGUAACUUGUUACCACUAGUCGGAAGGAACCCUCAGUCAAGGGAUCUCAUCCUACAGUUGGUUGAGGAGUGAGUCGUUUGUUUUCUUGUCAUCUCCUUUUGCUAUAUACAAUCGCCUCACCUUGUUUAUGAAAUUUUCUUCCUAUCAUCAGAAUUUUGUCGAAUCCAAAGGCUCGGACUAUUCUUGUAAAUUGCGCUGUUAGGGAGAAAGAGCAACUAAUUCCACCACCUUCAUUUAAGAUCUUGUUGCGGCUUACUUUCCCUACUUCAUCCGCAAGAGUAAAGGUAAGUAGUAAGUAGAAUUUUAAGAUAUAAUAUUGCUAUUACUUUUGUUAUUUGAUUAACUUGAAAAAUGAUUUGUUUAUAUACAUAAGAUUUUUAUUAUGGUGAAUGACCAAUUUUGUGCAACAUUUUUUUAUAGUUAAUGUUUGUCUUCACUUAUUAUGUUUUAAAAGUUAGAUAUAUAUUGGUUCUUGUUUUAUAUAAAACGUUACACAUAUAAAUUACAUUACAUAAACAAUUAUUAAAAUGAUGUUAACAAAGAUAAACUAAACGACCUUAUACCCCAUGGCACGGGUACAUCGCCUAAUUGGAAUUUAUAAAAACAAAACUUUGGUGCAUUUUGAUCACAAGCAUGGUCUUUGUAUGCGCACAGGCUACCGAGAGGUUUGAGGCAAUUUAUCCCUUAUUGAAAGAAGUGGUUCUUGCAGGAAGCAAGACAAUGAAACAAGUCACUCAACAAAUAUUCACUUUUUUUUUUUAAA